rnacentral:rRNA from 1 species
GCUUCCUACGGGAGGCAGCAGUGGGGAAUUUUGGACAAUGGGCGCAAGCCUGAUCCAGCAAUGCCGCGUGAGUGAAGAAGGCCUUCGGGUUGUAAAGCUCUUUUGUCAGGGAAGAAACGGCCGCGGCUAAUAUCCGCGGCUAAUGACGGUACCUGAAGAAUAAGCACCGGCUAACUACGUGCCAGCAGCCGCGGUAAUACGUAGGGUGCAAGCGUUAAUCGGAAUUACUGGGCGUAAAGCGUGCGCAGGCGGUUUUGUAAGUCUGACGUGAAAUCCCCGGGCUCAACCUGGGAAUUGCGUUGGAGACUGCAAGGCUGGAGUCUGGCAGAGGGGGGUAGAAUUCCACGUGUAGCAGUGAAAUGCGUAGAGAUGUGGAGGAACACCGAUGGCGAAGGCAGCCCCCUGGGCCAAGACUGACGCUCAUGCACGAAAGCGUGGGGAGCAAACAGGAUUAGAUACCCUGGUAGUCCACGCCCUAAACGAUGUCUACUAGUUGUCGGGUCUUAAUUGACUUGGUAACGCAGCUAACGCGUGAAGUAGACCGCCUGGGGAGUACGGUCGCAAGAUUAAAACUCA